rnacentral:lncRNA from 1 species
GUGUGUCUGCGUACGAUCGCAGGAGAAGGGGAAAAAGGGGGUGUAAACCCUAACCACAAAAAAAAUCAUCAAUUGAAAAGGAAAUCGCGGGUUGAUUGUGUGCAUGAACCAAGAAUGAUGAUCCCUUAAGCGUUUCUCACAUCAAGAACGUGUCAAGGAGAGGUCAAGCAUAGGAGGAUAACGGGUCAAGAUAAGGCAAGGUGACAAAUACACUUAUUGGAGUACUCGAGGAAGGAACACUGGCAUGUAUGAAGGUAUGGGAUCGUUGGCUUCAUGAAGAAAUGGAGCUGGAUUUGGAUAAGAGUAUUUAAGAAAGCGCUUGGACAAUUCCACGACUACUUUAUAGAAUGCUCUACGAAAUUCUAUUAUAUAGUUUAAUAUUGUAUGGUAUGUUAAUGACUAAUGGUUUGGUUGUACGUGGUGUCCACAGGUAUCGCUUGGGUUUUCUCUACAUUUAUUGAAGUGAAGCGGACUUAGUUCGAGUUGAGAGCAAGGAUUGUACGGGGUAGAAUGGUCACAUAGUGUAACUCAUAUAGGUUUUGAAGUAUUAACGUUAUAAAUCCGUUUUAAUGAAUAUAUGGCAUUUCGCAUUUGAACCUUCAUGUGUUUGAUAUGUCUAUUAAAGAACGAAAUUUUUGGGCUCUUGUUUUCCGCUGCGUCGUAUUUUAAGUUAUUACGCGU